ensembl:snoRNA
UGCAGCCUUGUCAAAUUCGGUGCUUCCUCCACAAUGGACUGCACUGGCCAAAAUGGCUGCAACCUGUAGUUCAUGGGCCCCACAUCCCUUAUGCAUGGGUGUACGGGAUAGAUUUGUACUACAGACAAUU